ACUUAUAUUUUCAAACAAAAACUUGCGAGCUCCAAUAACCCACUCAGCCCAAUUUAUAUUUUUCAUUUUUCUUAAACUCUCAUUUCCCCCAAAUCGCUCGAUCAUUGAUUUAUAUCUUGCCCUGGACUCUUAUUUUCCCCAAAUCGCUCGAUCGUGUCUGAGUAACUAGGUUCAUUGUUAGAUCAAGAGCCCUCUCUCGAUUUCGCUCUGUAGAUCACCACGGUCGUCUAAAGAAGAAAUCUCCAACGGUAGUUUGAUUCUAGAAACAAGCUUUGGUUUGAAUCAAUGCUUCCUCAACUGUUAUUAAUUUGAGAGAAAUGAAUCAAGAAAUGAAUAUUAGAGAGCAUUCAUAUUAUCUUUGGUUUGUUAUAUCUUAGAGAGGAUUGAUGCUAUUAAUCAAGAAAUUAUUCAGCUGAAGAAGGGAAUUCACCAACAGUUUUCAGGGGCACAAGGGAUGGAUCAAUGAAAUGAACUUGUUGGGUGUAGUCAAGCACCAAAAUCUUGUACAGUUAGUGGGAUAUUGUGCAAAAGAUUAUGAAAGAGGGAUUCAACAGCUUUUGGUGUAUGAGCUUAUGCAUAACAAAAGCUUAGAGGACCAUCUGUUGGCUCGGGUAGCGUCUUCUCUGCCAUGGAUGGCAAGAUUAAAAAUUGCUCAAGAUGCAGCUCGUGGUUUGGCUUAUCUACAUGGAGAAAUGGACUUUGGAGGCUAAAAAUUUGUAUGAUGAAUUAUUAUUAAAUUUGUAUGAUGGAUUUAUUUUGAUUUAUAAUAUAAAUUGGUUACUGAAUUGUUUUGUAGAGUGGUGUAUAAUAGCUAGUGGAUUUGUUAGUAUAUUUGAAGGCUAUUGAGAUAUGAGCAGGAUAUUUGUGAAAUAAUAAUUUAAAUUGAAUUAUAAAAUA